GACGAACGCUGGCGGCGUGCCUAAUACAUGCAAGUCGAACGCACUCUCGUUUAGAUUGAAGGAGCUUGCUCCUGAUUGAUAAAACAUUUGAGUGAGUGGCGGACGGGUGAGUAACACGUGGGUAACCUGCCCUAAAGUGGGGGAUAACAUUUGGAAACAGAUGCUAAUACCGCAUAAAACCUAACACCGCAUGGUGUAGGGUUGAAAGAUGGUUUCGGCUAUCACUUUAGGAUGGACCCGCGGUGCAUUAGUUAGUUGGUGAGGUAAAGGCUCACCAAGACCGUGAUGCAUAGCCGACCUGAGAGGGUAAUCGGCCACACUGGGACUGAGACACGGCCCAGACUCCUACGGGAGGCAGCAGUAGGGAAUCUUCCACAAUGGACGAAGUCUGAUGGAGCAACGCGCGUGAGUGAAGAAGGUUUCGGA
rnacentral:rRNA from 1 species